UACAGAGGAUGCAAGCGUUAUCCGGAAUGAUUGGGCGUAAAGCGUCUGUAGGUGGCUUUUUAAGUCCGCCGUCAAAUCCCAGGGCUCAACUCUGGACAGGCGGUGGAAACUACCAAGCUGGAGUACGGUAGGGGCAGAGGGAAUUUCCGGUGGAGCGGUGAAAUGCGUAGAGAUCUGGAGGAACACCGGUGGCGAAGGCGGCGUUCUGGACUGUCUCUGACACUGAAGAACGAAAGCCGGGGGAGCAAACGGG
rnacentral:rRNA from 1 species